rnacentral:RNase_P_RNA from 1 species
CAAGUCAGCUGGACAAUUGCUGUUUUCAAUUCUUUGCUUAUCGAUCUUCGGUAAAUGAGGAGGAAAACAGAGGAAAGUCCGGGCUCCAUAGAGCAGGGUGCCAGGUAACGCCUGGGGGGUGUGAACCCACGGCAAGUGCAACAGAAAAGAUACCGCCUGGUCUCGCGAGAGCGCAGGUAAGGGUGAAAUGGUGCGGUAAGAGCGCACCGCGCGGCUGGUAACAGUCCGCGGCAAGGUAAACCCCACCCGGAGCAAGGCCAAAUAGGAAUCUGAUAGUGUGGCUCGCACUGGAUUCGGGUAGGCCGCUACAAGCCUGUGGUGACACAGGUUGCAGAUGAAUAAUUGUCCUCGACAGAACCCGGCUUACAGGCUGACUUACCUC